GCAGCCCACAACAGUGCAACCCCCGAUCAACUUCGCCACCACCCACUACUGAAGGAAACGAGCAACCCGGUGAAGAUUGUCACGUCAUUCAAGAAAAUGUCCAAGCCUCUAACCGCCAUGAUGAAUCAUCCUCACCACCCUCCGAUCCAGAUCCCUUCGCUGAAGACUUCCCAUUAGAUGAAGAUUUGAUGGGGAGUAAUAAUAAUAAUGAAGCAUCGCGCAUUGGUGGAGGUGUAGGAACCAGAAGGGGAUCUUCACUCACGAGGGAAAGAACGGAGGGUAAUAAGGUAGUGAGUACCAUUCAUUAUGCGGCCGCAGUAGGGUCACACAUUGACGUGGCAAUGAAGUUAAGUAGUAGCAUAACCCGAUUACGCGAAGAUGUGCACAGUAACUUCCUCGAAAGAGGUAUUCGAUCGGCUAUGCUAUACUUGUGCGUUAUUAUCACCAGCGUGAGGAUGCUAGGCGACAUGAAUGAAAAAAAGUGCUUUCUAUGUAUGUACU